rnacentral:rRNA from 1 species
CGCAUGGUGGAUGACUUGGUGUCGAGAGGCGAUGAAGGACGCGGUAACCGGCGAUACGCCCAGGGGAGUUGGUAAACAAACAGUGAUCCUGGGAUUUCCGAAUGGGGCAACCACCCUUCGGGGUACUUUGUUCUGAAUGUAUAGGGACAAAGAGCGAACGCAGAGAAGUGAAACAUCUCAGUAACUGCAGGAAAAGAAAGCAACCGCAAUUCCGUGAGUAGAGGCGAUCGAAAGCGGACAAACCAGGAAUCGAACGAAGCGUUUGAAUGACGCGCCACAGAAGGUGAAAGCCCUGUAGUCGUGAACUGGCCAGCCCACGAGUAAACUCGGGCUCGGGAAACCCGGGUUGAACACGGGGGGUCCACCCUCCAAGGCUAAAUACUCCUCGACAACCGAUAGCGAACCAGUAAGGCGACUGAACGUUGACAAGCACCGCGAUGAGCGGAGUGAAAGAGUACCUGAAACCAUGCGCUUACAAGCGGUCGGAGUCCGCAAGGAUGACGGCGUGCUUUUUG